AUAUCUACCCUUAGUAUUCCUGCUGUGUGCUCUUGUUUUUCAGGUAGAUGUGGUCAUUCCUAAUGUCUAUGCAACAAACACGGUGGUCUUCCCAGAACCACCCAACCCAAUACCAAGUUAUUCCGAUGCAAUUCGAGACUCCAGAUAAGUGAAGCUGAAGAUUGUAGAAGAAUCCUUUGUUGAGACCAAGUGACAUCCUCUCUUACCUAGACUUCUGUGAGCCAGGGUCUUCUUUUCCUGACAAACUUGGGGAAAUGUCUUUCUUAUGGCCUAAAUUGUGGACUCUUGCUUCAACUCACCCUGGAAAAAUCUCUAUUAAAAGAAGAUUGGAGAUUGAAAUGGAUUUAAACAAAGAUGUCCUACCAGGACACAUGCAUCUGUAUGGUGUACAGCAGCCUUGGUGUACAGACAUUUAUGUGACCCCUGCCUACAGGAGCUUUGGGGAUAGAGAAAUGGCUAUUUCAUCAUCCGAACUUCCCUGUCAGUCAUUCAGUCAUUUAAUAAAUACAUAUUGAGCAUCAGAA
rnacentral:lncRNA from 1 species